GAAAGUCGCGGAACUUGGCUCAAAGCUUGAAAAUAUCGAUGGGAAGUUGCUUGGUCUAAACCUAAAUAAAACUCAGUGACUCUGCGGCAACAAGAUCUUAGCCAAACUCUUCAAAAGAUAUCACAGAAAUGGAUUCCAAGCAUCAAAGAUGUGUAUGUGACAUUAACCAUUUAUCUCCAACCAAAAAUUCAAUACUUAACCGAUAAGUCCAUCGAGGUGUUACAUACAUGUAAGCAGGCUUUUGACCCCACAUUUCACCCAACCAUUCGACGUUUCCUACGACUAUCUUGAGGUAAGCCGAGUUAUGACAAUAUGGAAACCACACUUUGAGAAAAUACAAGUUGCCUUAGAGGCAUAUACUGAAAACGUAAGACAUGGCUUCGAAAAGUUGGUUAACUGGACAAAAUCUUUGGGAGGACAAAAGUAAUAUCUAUUUUCUUGUUUGGUUUUUACGGCUACCAGCAAUUGCCGGGUGGUUUCUUUCCCAUUUUUUUUUAGUAAUUGGGAUGGGAGACGCUCUCUUUAAUCAUUUUUCGUAUUUUUUUUUUCUUAUUUUGGAUGGUGAUGGUGUUACCAGAUUCAAAAUCAGAAGAUUCAUACCACCGAUGUCUUCAUCCAGUGUCAUGUUGAUUCGUUUGAAUCGUACUAUAUUCAUAAAUAUAAAGUUUGUUUUCGGUGGUCUC